GACGAACGCUGGCGGCGUGCUUAACACAUGCAAGUCGAACGGAAAGGCCCUGCUUUUGUGGGGUGCUCGAGUGGCGAACGGGUGAGUAACACGUGAGUAACCUGCCCUUGACUUUGGGAUAACUUCAGGAAACUGGGGCUAAUACCGGAUAGGAGCUCCUGCUGCAUGGUGGGGGUUGGAAAGUUUCGGCGGUUGGGGAUGGACUCGCGGCUUAUCAGCUUGUUGGUGGGGUAGUGGCUUACCAAGGCUUUGACGGGUAGCCGGCCUGAGAGGGUGACCGGCCAAAUUGGGACUGAGAUACGGCCCAGACUCCUACGGGAGGCAGCAGUGGGGAAUAUUGCACAAUGGGCGGAAGCCUGAUGCAGCAACGCCGCGUGCGGGAUGACGGCCUUCGGGUUGUAAACCGCUUUCGCCUGUGACGAAGCGUGAGUGACGGUAAUGGGUAAAGAAGCACCGGCUAACUACG
rnacentral:rRNA from 1 species